rnacentral:pre_miRNA from 1 species
UGUAAGGCAGUUGGUGAUCUAGCCAUUUCCUCAGCAGCUUUUCUUAAUGUCGACGAUGCUUCUAAUUCACCUUGUGCUGCUAUUAC